GACGGAGGAUGCAAGUGUUAUCCGGAAUCACUGGGCGUAAAGCGUCUGUAGGUGGUUCAAUAAGUCAACUGUUAAAUCUUGAGGCUCAACUUCAAAAUCGCAGUCGAAACUAUUGGGCUCGAGUAUAGUAGGGGUAAAGGGAAUUUCCAGUGGAGCGGUGAAAUGCGUAGAGAUUGGAAAGAACACCAAUGGCGAAAGCACUUUACUGGGCUAUUACUGACACUGAGAGACGAAAGCUAGGG
rnacentral:rRNA from 1 species